UUCUUAUCCAGAGUGGCUGAGGGACUGGCCCUGCGACGCCACAGCAUCCGAUCCGGCGUGGUUGAUCAAGAGGGAUGAUGGAUCGUCAUUACGGUUCGCCCUUGCGAUUGGUGGUUCUUAGUGCCCACCAACCCGCCUUGAUGCCGGUGCUAACUCCUGCCCCUCCUCAAUGGCUUCGUGCUGGUUUGGGGAGAAGGGAGAGAUAAGAG
rnacentral:ncRNA from 2 species